UACGAAGGGGGCUAGCGUUGCUCGGAAUUACUGGGCGUAAAGGGCGCGUAGGCGGAUAGUUUAGUCAGAGGUAAAAGCCCAGGGCUCAACCUUGGAACUGCCUUUGAUACUGGCUAUCUUGAGUUCGGGAGAGGUGAGUGGAAUGCCGAGUGUAGAGGUGAAAUUCGUAGAUAUUCGGAAGAACACCAGUGGCGAAGGCGGCUCACUGGACUGGUAUUGACGCUGAGGUGACGAA
rnacentral:rRNA from 1 species